rnacentral:rRNA from 1 species
AGGCAGCAGUGGGGAAUAUUGGACAAUGGGCGAAAGCCUGAUCCAGCCAUGCCGCGUGAGUGAUGAAGGCCCUAGGGUUGUAAAGCUCUUUUGUGCGGGAAGAUAAUGACGGUACCGCAAGAAUAAGCCCCGGCUAACUUCGUGCCAGCAGCCGCGGUAAUACGAAGGGGGCUAGCGUUGCUCGGAAUCACUGGGCGUAAAGGGUGCGUAGGCGGGUUUUUAAGUCAGGGGUGAAAUCCUGGAGCUCAACUCCAGAACUGCCUUUGAUACUGAGAAUCUUGAGUACGGGAGAGGUGAGUGGAACUGCGAGUGUAGAGGUGAAAUUCGUAGAUAUUCGCAAGAACACCAGUGGCGAAGGCGGCUCACUGGCCCGUUACUGACGCUGAGGCACGAAAGCGUGGGGAGCAAACAGGAUUAGAUACCCUGGUAG